rnacentral:ncRNA from 2 species
UCGUCUCAAGUUGGCUGAGGUGCCCAGUCCCCCGGAUGGGAGGGCUUAAAGGCGAAGCCGGUAUAGUCCGGCGCUGUCCCGCAACUGUAAGGCAGAGCAUUCCUGCCAAGCCAGGCCGCCCGCCUCAACCCGCUACACCAC